rnacentral:lncRNA from 1 species
UAGGUAGCCAGUUAUUAUUAAAAAUUGUUAUAAAUCAUAAGUAUUUGGUUUAACAUUUUAAAUAACGUUUUACUAAUUAUUAUGAUGUUUUGUAAUUGAAGGCAAUUUUUAUGCAUUUUGCUAAUACAAAUUAAAAAUAAAUAAAACUUGAAACAAAAAUGAUAAAUGGUGAUAUAUUAUCAUUCUACAAUAAAUUAAACUUUAUUACAUCAUCAUAAUAUGGUUUUUCCAACAUGAAUAAUUAAUUCGCGCUAAAUUCGCCAUUUAGACCACUGUGCGACGGUUGGGCAGAUGAGGAGAACUAUCGGGACCCGUGGUGGGAGGAUGCUGCCGUCACGGCAGUUCAGAGCGAUUGGGAAUCGCCGGAGGGGAGAAGUAAAAUUGCUCCAUCAAGCAAAGUCAGCAAUCCACACGACGUGCAGGAGGCGAUGAACACGGGGGAGGCAAUCCGACGCGACUCCCACGGGAGCAUGGGGGUAUCCGUGGUGUUUCCCCAGGGGUAUGCUUGCCCGGAGUCCUGCAGAGCGGCAUUGGCCGACUUUCAUAGUCGGAACGAUGUAAGCAGUACUCCACUGGCAGGACCGGGGGCUACCACCAACCGGGACGAAAAAAACUUCGUCAGGUCAAUCUCCACUUUGUCAAUUCC